UAAUGGCACUGGUCAAAAAAAAAUAUACUGGUUGCAUGGACUAUGAGAACUGAUUUAGGGUAAUUUUGGAGUGCUGAAACCGAAUCUGAGCUUAGAUUUCCUCCAUCACAUCACCUUUUUUUAAAAAAAUCUGCAUGUUCCGUAUUGAUGGAUU